rnacentral:rRNA from 1 species
GAUGAACGCUGGCGGCGUGCCUAAUACAUGCCAGUCGAGCGAACAGAUGAGGAGCUUGCUCCUCUGACGUUAGCGGCGGACGGGUGAGUAACACGUGGAUAACCUACCUAUAAGACUGGGAUAACUUCGGGAAACCGGAGCUAAUACCGGAUAAUAUAUUGAACCGCAUGGUUCAAUAGUGAAAGACGGUUUUGCUGUCACUUAUAGAUGGAUCCGCGCCGCAUUAGCUAGUUGGUAAGGUAACGGCUUACCAAGGCAACGAUGCGUAGCCGACCUGAGAGGGUGAUCGGCCACACUGGAACUGAGACACGGUCCAGACUCCUACGGGAGGCAGCAGUAGGGAAUCUUCCGCAAUGGGCGAAAGCCUGACGGAGCAACGCCGCGUGAGUGAUGAAGGUCUUCGGAUCGUAAAACUCUGUUAUUAGGGAAGAACAAAUGUGUAAGUAACUAUGCACGUCUUGACGGUACCUAAUCAGAAAGCCACGGCUAACUACGCG